rnacentral:rRNA from 1 species
GUCCGCACCGUAAACGAUGGAUACUAGGUGUCCGGCCUUUCGGGGCUGGGUGCCCAAGGGAAACCGAUAAGUAUCCCACCUGGGGAGUACGUCCGCAAGGAUGAAACUCAAAGGAAUUGACGGGGGCCCGCACAAGCGGUGGAGCAUGUGGUUUAAUUCGAUGAUACGCGAGGAACCUUACCUGGGCUAGAAUGCCCCUGACCGUCCUGGAAACAGGUCUUUCCUUCGGGACAGGGAGCAAGGUGCUGCAUGGCUGUCGU